rnacentral:lncRNA from 1 species
UUGUUGAUCAUAAUUUUUUUUUCAACAAUUGUCUUGAUAUUUCAUCAAUUGCUUUCAUACUUUGUAUCUUCUGCUUGGGACACUGGAUAAUAAGAACUGUGAGUAACUGCAUUACUCAUCGCAUAACAUCAAUUCCUUUUGUCUCUUGUGAAUAAACUGCUUGCAUAGAUCAGGUCUUUUGGUUGACAAAGUCCAGAUUUAGAAAGUGUUCAAAUGUGGUCUUGGACAUACAGUUCAGAAGGUUGUGAAAUUUGUAUUAAUCACACAUAGGCCUUCAGGUCUGUUUUCCACAUUAUUUUUCUCCAGAUCCAAAAUAAACUCACAUAAUGGGCUGUGGUGGUUUUUUAACCUUCAGCAUUGGCCUGUCUCACAUCCUUUGGAAUGAUACCAGAUGAUCAACCUCCUUUCCUUUGGGGAAGAGGGUCCAUACCGCUGUGAAGAAUUUGAGCCUGGGGAAAAGAGGACUCAUUGCAUAGAUGAGCUCUCCUGA